rnacentral:misc_RNA from 1 species
AUCUUAUAUGCAAGAUUGUAAUUGCUGCAUGGAUGUUACUGAUCCUUAUUACAAUAAUGAACUGGGAAAAUACAAGAGCACGAUUAAUACAGGGCUGUAGACUACAUUGCAAGAUACAAAUGUGUCUUAGAGCAAUGAUACAAACUACUGAAUUAAAACAAAGAUCUGGACUGGAAGGAAAGUUUGCCACUCAAUCAAGUGGAUUGUAUUCAGC